GAUGAACGCUGACAGAAUGCUUAACACAUGCAAGUCGAUGGGGAAGUGGUGCUUGCACCAUGGUAACCAUGGCGGACGGGUGAGUAACGCGUAAGGAACUUACCUGCGGGACCGGGAUAACAGCAGGAAACUGCUGACAAGACCGGAUAAGGUCAUUAAGCUGCAUAGCUUAGUGAUGAAAGGAGACGCCUGCGGAGAGCCUUGCGUCCUAUUAGCUAGUUGGAGGGGUAACGGCCCACCAAGGCGAAGGUAGGUAGCCGGCCUGAGAGGGUGGACGGCCACAAGGGGACUGAGAUACGGCCCUUACUCCUACGGGAGGCAGCAGUGGGGAAUAUUGGACAAUGGGGGCAACCCUGAUCCAGCAAUUCUGUGUGCACGAAGACGGUUUUCGGAUUGUAAAGUGCUUUCAGCAGGGAAGAAGGAAGUGACGGUACCUGCAGAAGAAGCGACGGCUAAAUACGUG
rnacentral:rRNA from 1 species